ACAAGCGGUGGAUGAUGUGGAUUAAUUCGAUGCAACGCGAAAACCUUACCUACCUUGACAUGUCCGGAAUCCUGCAGAGAUGCGGGAGUGCCCGAAAGGGAAUCGGAACACAGGUGCUGCAUGGCUGUCGUCAGCUCGUGUCGUGAGAUGUUGGGUUAAGUCCCGCAACGAGCGCAACCCUUAUCAUUAGUUGCUACGCAAGGGCACUCUAAUGAGACUGCCGGUGACAAACCGGAGGAAGGUGGGGAUGACGUCAAGUCCUCAUGGCCCUUAUGGGUAGGGCUUCACACGUCAUACAAUGGUCGGUACAGAGGGUUGCCAAGCCGCGAGGUGGAGCCAAUCCCAGAAAGCCGAUCGUAGUCCGGAUUGUUCUCUGCAACUCGAGAGCAUGAAGUCGGAAUCGCUAGUAAUCGCGGAUCGGCAUGUCGCGGUGAAUACGUUCCCGGGUCUU
rnacentral:rRNA from 1 species